ensembl:lncRNA
GCUCUUUCUGGAAGACGCCCACUGGUCUGCCCUCCGUCUGUGGCAGUGGCAGGAUGGGAAUACCAGACGUUUGAAGUCAUCACUUUAAAGGAAUGCAUUACCAAGGUUUCAUUGUGCUUUGGCGAUAUUGGUUUAUUAGAAUGAGGUUUAUUCCAGUGGCAAACAAACAAUCGUAAUCUGACUUUGUUCGUAAUCAAUGCCAUUGCAGUUUACUCCUCAAACUUUGACUUUCUAAACAAUGGUGAUUAAAUCCCUGUGCGUGAUAAUCAUCUUGUACACAAAUGUAACUGAAAUAACAAUGAAUGUUUGAUGCAUUGGUAUAAAGACUGAAAGGAUCUUUUUGCCUGGUACUCGCUCAGGACAGUUAGAGAGAGAGACAGAGAUCGGCCAGAACUUCCCACACAGGGAGCGGGUGGUGAAUGAGACGCAUUGUGCCACAUAGGACACAGCAACAAAUCGCUCAUUGAAUUGUUGUGGGCCUAAUAACCUCGCUGGACCCCACGGCUAUCCUCCUGGCAUGGAUCGCUGGACAUUUCAGAAGAGCAAGGAAUAUUAGGACUGGAGAAUUACAGUCCUUCUUUGGAGUUUGUGAGGCUUAUGGAUUCCACCUCACGCCAGACUGCACUUUAUUUUGCAAGAAUUUGAUGCGGUCUGUUUGCCCCAUCCUUGUUUCAUGUGGCAGCAACCCUUUACACUUCCUUCCCCACAUACUGUAAAGCAAAUUACUUAAUUUAGUGAUAUGAGAAACAUCAGACAGAGACAAAAGCCAAAUGGAGGACGUCAUAGGAAAUGGGUUUUAAUAAAACAUCCUUCAAAGGCA